rnacentral:rRNA from 1 species
UACGUAGGGUGCGAGCGUUGUCCGGAAUUAUUGGGCGUAAAGAGCUCGUAGGCGGUCUGUCGCGUCGAAUGUGAAAACCCGGGGCUCAACUCCGGGCUUGCAUUCGAUACGGGCAGGCUAGAGUUCGGUAGGGGAGUCUGGAAUUCCUGGUGUAGCGGUGAAAUGCGCAGAUAUCGGGAGGAACACCGGUGGCGAAGGCGGGUCUCUGGGCCGAUACUGACGCUGAGGAGCGAAAGCGUGGGGAGCGAACAGG